rnacentral:rRNA from 1 species
GGGGAAUAUUGGACAAUGGGCGCAAGCCUGAUCCAGCCAUACCGCGUGGGUGAAGAAGGCCUUCGGGUUGUAAAGCCCUUUUAUUGGGAAAGAAAAGCAUUCGGUUAAUACCCGAUUGUUCUGACGGUACCCAAAGAAUAAGCACCGGCUAACUUCGUGCCAGCAGCCGCGGUAAUACGAAGGGUGCAAGCGUUACUCGGAAUUACUGGGCGUAAAGCGUGCGUAGGUGGUUGUUUAAGUCUGUCGUGAAAGCCCUGGGCUCAACCUGGGAACUGCAUCCAAAACUGGCGAGCUAGAGUAUGGCAGAGGGUGGUGGAAUUUCCUGUGUAGCGGUGAAAUGCGUAGAUAUAGGAAGGAACACCAGUGGCGAAGGCGACCACCUGGGCUAAUACUGACACUGAGGUGCGAAAGCGUGGGGAGCAAACA